CUUGUAGUUAGUGAACAAAUUGGCUGUGUUUCAGGAUGUGAUGUUGAUAUUUCUAAGAUACUUUUCUUUAGUUUAGGACAUGGCUGUGUAGUACUCGGCCCCCACAUAAUCUCAUCUAUCUAGAGAAGGAUCAGCCCGUUUUCCAGAUUAGAAACCGGAGGCCAGUAUCUAGUUGUUAGUGAACAAAUGAGCCGUGCUUCUGGAUCUGAUGUUGGUGAUAUUUCUAUUGUGCUUCCCUUCAGUUUAGGAUGUGACUCUCUAGAACAUGGCAACCAUGUAAUCUUCCUAUCUGGAGCAGCACCGACCCAUUUUCCUGAUGAGAAACUGUGUUUAGCAUGUGGCUCUCUAGAACUUGGCAACCAUGUAAUCUUCCUAUCUGGAGCAGCACCGAACAAUUUUCCUGAAGCGAAACUGUGUUUAGCAUGUGGCUCUCUAGAACUUGGCAACCAUGUAAUCUUCCUAUCUGGAGCAGCACAGACCCGUUUUCCUGAUGAGAAACUGUGUUUAGGAUGUGACUCUCUAGAACAUGGCAACCAUGUAAUCUUCCUAUCUGGAGCAGCACCGACCCAUUUUCCUGAUGAGAAACUGUGGACAUUGACAAAAACAUUAAAAACCAGAAGGCCAAGCAUUGGGCUACCUUGCUGGAGACCUCCUUCCAAGCUGCUGUAAUCCUCUUGACUUCUUUUUGGGUCCCCAGGAGAUUGGAAGAAAUGGCCUCUGGGGUCCCUUCUAGUUAUGGAUUGAUGAUCCCUAUGCUCCUAAAUCACUUCUGCUCCCUGGUCUCCGGUUUCCUCCUGUCACAUGAGAGGCUAGAACAGUGUAGUCAGUGGACUUGGAGUUAAGAAGACCUGGGUUCAAAUCCCACCUCAGACACUAGGUAAGCGGUGACAACUCUGGACGAGUUGCUUGAACUUUUCUGAGACUCAGUUUUCCUGUCUUUAAAAUGAAUGAGCAGGUUGGACCCCUUGACCUCCAAGGCCCCUGAGCCCCCAAGAUGACCUCUGAAGCUUCUUCUAGGUCUAGCCUGAUGGUCCAACAUAGUUUCCUCAGUAAACAAAAUUAUUCUUUGAUGCUAGAGUAAUGUCAGGAGGCUGAAAACAUGCCACACUGUCCUGCUAGAAAGGAUCUCCUGUAAGCAUACAUGGCGUAACCAGUUCUGAGUUUGGUUCAUUCCCCUAAACACAAUUCACAUCACCAGUUUGGGAGUUGUGUGGCCAGGAAAUGAAUCCAAAGUGAGGCUGGUUUGGGGGGGCAGGAGGACACGGGUGGGAAGGUGCUGCCAAUUCCUUCCCUGGGCCUCACUUUCUUUCUCUGCAGAAAGUAGGGGGUAAACUCAGCAGUCUCUAAGGCCUCCUCCAGCUUCCCUCUUCUAUUGUGUCCUCAUUCACAUUUGGCUUUCAGAAUCUGUAGUCUCUGCAAGGUUUGCAGUCCACAUUCCCAGUUUACUACUUCAAGGAAAAGCACAAAGUGUAACACUGACCACUAGUGGAAAGAAAGCAGGGCACAUGUAUUUACAAAGAAGCCUGCGAUGCCAACAAGCUAAGGCCCAGCAUUUCUUGGACGUUCCCUCCAAAUGAGAAUUGCAGCGUCCUCUGAGUUUUGCCCGUGGAGCAUGGGAUGGGGGUCUGGUACGAGCUCCCUUCUCCCCCUCUUUGCUCUCUGGGGUUUCAGGAUUUGUAAAAGCUUUUGUUAACAACUCUUAGUGUUCCCAUUUUACAAAAAGAAGAAAUUGAAGAGGAGAUGAUAAGUAACUUGGCCAAGGGUACAUGGAUUGCAGGCAGCAGAGCUGGUGGGGGGCUCGAAACUGGGUUUUCAGAUGCCAACUAGGUAUUUUUCCCAGAUUGCUUUGUAUGAUUGAAAAAGCAAAUAGUAUCAUAAGCUUUAAAAUGAUGUUGUAUCGGGAUUCCCCACAUGAAAUCCCACCACUUUUAAGGCUGUCUGGUAGAGGGAGUAGAUGACAGAUACAAAUAUUCUGACAUUCUCAAACAUAGUAUGGUGGAAAAGGCAGGCAUGUGGAGUCAGAGAUUUGGUGUCCUGGUUCUGCUACUUUUUACUUGUGUGACCUUGGACGAGUCACCUUACCUCCUCAUACCUCAGUUUCUUCAUUUGUAAAAUGAAGGGAGAGUGGACUUGAUGACCUCUAAUAUCACCUAUAGCUUAAGAGCUAGAAUUCUAUACACCCCUUGAAGAUGGGACUGUUUUUCUUUUGUCUUUGUUAUCCUAAGCAUCUUACUCUCUCUCUCUUGCACAUAGUAGGCGUGACACGAAUGCUUGCUAAAUUGAAAGCAGCUGUUCAGUUUACUCCCAAGAGGCCUACACAAAUACAUAGAAGCUCACUGCUGUGAGUUCCAUUUGAUGACCAUUCCUUGGAAGACAAUGUAAGUCUGAAUUGUGUAAAGCAAAGAUGUAUGAAAUCAGGAGCAGCUGAUGUUUGGGUUGCUACUUCAGCUUAUCCCCUGCACCAACCCUGAACUCAGUAUGAGUAUUCUUCAAAGCAGAAUCUAGUGGAGCUCUCCCCAAGGUCAACAGAUGUGGUGUACCCAAGUAGGAAAGUCUGGCUCUGACAAUUUCUACCUAUGUAAUAAUAAUAAUAGCUAACAUUUUGUGCCAGGCAUAUAGUAAAUAUUAUCUCAUUUCAUCCUGACAACAGACCUGGGAGGUAGAUGCUGCUAUCCCUAUUUUACAUAUGGGGAAACUGAGGCAGACAGAGAUUUUUUUUUUUAAGCGCCUUGCUCAAGACCAUACAACUAAUAAAUGUCUGAGGCAGAAUUUGAAAUCA
ensembl:lncRNA